rnacentral:lncRNA from 1 species
GGGGAUCUCAACCGUUUUCAAAUUCUCAAACCGGAAGGGGAAGAGUGGCCCCACGAACUCCACCUAUAUUUCAUAUGAUUUGUUAUAUUGUCCCAUACAUGAAUAUAUAUGGUUUAGGGGUGGGGAUCUUGACCGUUUCCAAGUUUUCAAAUAUGAGGGGUGGGGUGAUCCCCAGGGACUCCCCCUACAUAUUUCAUUUGAUUUGUUAUAUUGUCCCCUACAUGAAGAUAUAUGGUUUAGGGAUGGGGAUCUCGACCGUUACCAAGUUCUCAAACAGGAAGGGUGGGAUUACCCCCAGGGACUCCCCAUAUAUUUCAUUUGAAUAUAUAUGUAUUUUCCCAUACAUGAAUAAAUAUGGUUUAGGGGAGGGGAUCUCGACUGUUUCCAAGUUAUAAAAUAUGAGGGGAUGGGCCGACCCUAGGGACUUUCCCUAUAUUUCAUUUGAUUAGUUAUUUAGUCUCAUACAUGAAUGUAUAUGGUUGAGGGUGGGGAUCUCAUCCGUUUCAAAGUUAUCAAACAGGAGGAGGUAGAGUGGCCCAAUGGACUCCACCUAUAUAUCAAAUGAUUUUCUUACAUUCAGGUAUCAUAUAAUAUAUUUGCACUAUUUGUGCCUGUCCCAAGUCAGGAGCCUGUAAUUCAGUGGUUGUCGUUUGGUUUUGUGUUACAUAUUUGUUUUUUUGUUAUUUUUUUUUAUAUAAAUAGGGCCGUUAGUUUUCUAGUUUGAAUUGUUUCACAUUGUCUUAUUGGGGCCUUUUAUAGCUGACUAUGCGGUAUGGGCUUUGCUCAUUGUUGAAGGGUGUACGAUGACCUAUUGUUGUUAAUGUCUGUGUCAUUUUGGUCUCUUAUGGAUAGUUGUCUCAUUGGCAAUCAUACCACAUCUUUUUGUUAUAUAAGAAACUUCAAGCUAUAUUAACUGACCUAUCAAAAUUGAGAAGAAAAAAAUACUCCUGAAAAUUGC